GAUGAAGAACGUAGCGAAAUGCGAUAAGUAGUGUGAAUUGCAGAAUUCAGUGAAUCAUCGAAUCUUUGAACGCACAUUGCGCCUUCUAGUAUUCUGGGAGGCAUGCCUGUUUGAGCGUCAUUAAACCUCUCUCAAGUAUGAUUACUUGGAUGUGAAGGAAGAGUACCUUAAACUUAAGGAGUGUUCUCCUUUGAAAUUGAUUAGCAGAUGGUAAUGUUAUUAAAUCCCUGAUGUUGUAAGAAAUAACAGUGGUUUUGUAGACUAUUAUCUAGCUUUAAAUUAUAAUUUUUAUUAUGGUUGACCUCAAAUCAGGUAAGGAUACCCGCGGAACUUAAGCAUAUCAAUAAGCGGAGGA
rnacentral:misc_RNA from 1 species